CAUACCUAUUCGAAGGGAUAGGGUCGGCUCGGCCGGAUUUUACACAAGUGUUGCAUGGCUGUCGUCAGCUCGUGUCGUGAGAUGUUGGGUUAAGUCCCGCAACGAGCGCAACCCUCAUCCUUAGUUGCCAUCAGGUAAUGCUGAGUACUUUAAGGAAACUGCCAGUGAUAAGCUGGAGGAAGGUGGGGAUGAUGUCAAGUCAUCAUGGCCCUUAUGGAGUGGGCUACAUACGUGCUACAAUGGUGAUUACAAUGGGCUGCAAGGUCGCAAGGCUGAGCUAAUCCUAAAAAAUCAUCUCAGUUCGGAUUGUUCUCUGCAACUCGAGAGCAUGAAGUUGGAAUCGCUAGUAAUCGUGGAUCAGCAUGCCACGGUGAAUACGCUCUCGGGUCUUGUACACACUGCCCGUCACGCCAUGGGAAUGGGUUUCACUCGAAGCU
rnacentral:rRNA from 1 species